UUCCAUCGUGGUAUUGACUUACAAAUGGGCGAGGUCUUUUCCUCGGAUCAUUGACCACCUAUAUAUCAAUAAGCGGAGGAAAAGAAACCAACAGGGAUUGCCUCAGUAACGGCGAGUGAAGCGGCAACAGCUCAAAUUUGAAAUCUGCCCCCCGGCCGAGUUGUAAUUUUGGAGAGGAUGCUUUGGGUGCGGUGCCUUCCGAGUCCCCUGGAACGGGGCGCCAUAGAGGGUGAGAGCCCCGUACGGUUGCACACCUAGCUCGUGUAAAGCUCCUUCGACGAGUCGAGUAGUUUGGGAAUGCUGCUCUAAAUGGGAGGUAAAUUCCUUCUAAAGCUAAACAUCUGCCAGAGACCGAUAGCGCACAAGUAGAGUGAUCGAAAGAUGAAAAGCACUUUGAAAAGAGAGUCAAAUAGCACGUGAAAUUGUUGAAAGGGAAGCGCCUGCGACUAGACUUGGGCCGGGCCGAUCAUCUGCCGUUCUCGGCGGUGCACUCGGUCCGGCACAGGCCAGCAUCGGUUCCUGCGGGGGGAGAAAAGCCGAGGGAACGUGACUCCUCUGGGAGUGUUAUAGCCCGUGACACAAUGCCCCCGGAGGGACCGAGGACCGCGCACUGCGAGGAUGCUGGCGUAAUGGUCGUCGGCGACCCGUCUUGAAACACGGACAUUGCUGUGUCAAUGAUCCGGA
rnacentral:rRNA from 1 species